UACAGAGGGGGCAAGCGUUGUUCGGAAUUACUGGGCGUAAAGGGCGCGUAGGCGGCCUGUUAAGUCGAACGUGAAAUCCCUGGGCUCAACCCAGGAACUGCGUCCGAGACUGGAAGGCUCGAAUCCGGGAGAGGGAUGUGGAAUUCCAGGUGUAGCGGUGAAAUGCGUAGAUAUCUGGAGGAACACCGGUGGCGAAGGCGGCAUCCUGGACCGACACUGACGCUGAGGCGCGAAAGCUAGGGGAGCAAACGGG
rnacentral:rRNA from 1 species